rnacentral:rRNA from 1 species
GUGGGGAAUCUUGCGCAAUGGGCGAAAGCCUGACGCAGCCAUGCCGCGUGAAUGAUGAAGGUCUUAGGAUUGUAAAAUUCUUUCACCGGGGACGAUAAUGACGGUACCCGGAGAAGAAGCCCCGGCUAACUUCGUGCCAGCAGCCGAGGUAAUAAGAAGGGGGCUAGCGUUGCUCGGAAUUACUGGGCGUAAAGGGCGCGUAGGCGGACAGCUUAGUCAGAGGUGAAAGCCCAGGGCUCAACCUUGGAAUUGCCUUUGAUACUGGCUGUCUUGAGUUUGGGAGAGGUGAGUGGAACUCCGAGUGUAGCGGUGAAAUUCGUAGAUAUUCGGAAGAACACCAGUGGCGAAGGCGACUCACUGGCCCAAUACUGACGCUGAGGCGCGAAAGCGUGGGGAGCAAACAGGAUUAGAAACCCGGGUAGUCC